rnacentral:sRNA from 1 species
ACUGGGUGUAGUGACACGUGCCUGUAGUCCCAGCAUUCAGAAGGUUGACGUGGGAGGAUCAUUUGAGACCAGCCUGGGCAACAUAGUAAGAUCUACAUCUC